UUGAAACACUUGUUCCCAUACGGUCACUGAAGUUAAGCAACAUUGAGCCUGGUUAGUACCUAGAUUGGUGACUGCUUGAGAAAACCAUGUGC